rnacentral:rRNA from 1 species
AAAGAAUUUAAAGAGUGCACUUCAUUGUGGCUCGACAUUUUCUACCAUUCACCCUAGUGCACUGUAAUACCUUUUUUAUUAGACUCUACAAAGUUAUUGAAUGUAACACUUUUUUUAUAAAGAAAUAAAACUUUUAACAACGGAUCUCUUGGCUCUCGCAACGAUGAAGAACGCAGCGAAAUGCGAUAAGUAAUGUGAAUUGCAGAAUUCAGUGAAUCAUCAAAUCUUUGAACGCACCUUGCGCCCCUUGGUAUUCCGAAGGGCACACCUGUUUGAGUGUCAUUAAUCUCUCAACCCUAACAUUUUUUUAUUAGAAUGGUAGUGGCUGGAUGUUGAGCGUUGCUGGACCUUUUUUGGUUCAGCUCGCUUUAAAAUUAUGAGCAGGCUCCUACCAUUUCGGACUGACUCAACGUGAUAAGAAAUUUCGUUGAGGACGCUUUACAGCGGCCGAAUUGUAGGGAAAUGCCGCUGCUAGUUGACCCUUAUAUUUUAGACCUCAAAUCAGGUGGGACUACCCGCUGAACUUAA